UGGGGAAUAUUGCACAAUGGGCGAAAGCCUGAUGCAGCGACGCCGCGUGGAGGAUGAAGGCCUUCGGGUUGUAAACUCCUUUUGCAGGGGAAGAUAAUGACGGUACCCUGCGAAUAAGCCACGGCUAACUCUGUGCCAGCAGCCGCGGUAAGACAGAGGUGGCGAGCGUUGUUCGGAAUUACUGGGCUUAAAGGGCGCGUAGGCGGUGAUAUAAGUCUGGGGUGGAAUCCUGCAGCUUAACUGUGGGACUGCCCUGGAAACUGUGUUGCUUGAGUCGGACAGGGGAAGACGGAAUUCCAGGUGUAGCGGUGAAAUGCGUAGAUAUCUGGAGGAAGGCCUGUGGUGAAGACGGUCUUCUGGGUCUUGACUGACGCUGAGGCGCGAAAGCGUGGGGAGCAAA
rnacentral:rRNA from 1 species